CAAUAGCGUAUAUUUAAGUUGUUGCAGUUAAAAAGCUCGUAGUUGGAUUUCGGAUGGGAUUUGCCGGUCCGUCGUUACGAUGUGCACUGGCCAGUCCUAUCUUGUUGUCGGGGACUAGCUCCCUGGAUUCACUUCCUGGGACUAGGAGCUGACGAGGUUACUUUGAGUAAAUUAGAGUGUUCAAAGCAAGCCUACGCUCUGAAUACAUUAGCAUGGAAUAACACGAUAGGACUCUGGCUUAUCUUGUUGGUCUGUGAGACCAGAGUAAUGAUUAAGAGGGACAGUCGGGGACAUUCGUAUUUCAUUGUCAGAGGUGAAAUUCUUGGAUUUAUGAAAGACGAACUUCUGCGAAAGCAUUUGGCAAGGAUGUUUUCAUUAA
rnacentral:rRNA from 1 species